rnacentral:lncRNA from 10 species
ACAGGUUGCCCCAUAGUGACCCUGGAGACUCCCGCCUGCCCCCAGUGAAGGAAUUGGUUACUCUCCCAGAGCCCUCCCGGGCAUCGCCCCCUUCCUCACUUCCUCCUCUUCCUGCCCCCAGCCUCUACCCCUCCAGCCUCCUGUGGCUUCACAGGCAAGUGCCGCAUCCCAGGAAGAAGGAGUUGGAGCUCCGUGAUGCCAUUCAAAAACAGAUGAGAUGGGGACAGAUUUAACCCAAAGGACAUAGUUCAACUCCUGGUCUUGACAGAGGAGAAGCCCUCAAAGAUGGAGUCUCACUCUGUUGCCAGGCUAGAAUACAAUGGCACGAACUUGGCUCACUGCAACCUCCGCCUCCUGGGUUCAAGAGAUUCUCCUGCCUCAGCGUCCUGAGUUGCUGGGACUACGGGCACACACCAUCAUGCCCAGCUAAUUUUUGUAUUUUUAGUAGAGACAGGGUUUCACCAUGUUGACCAGGAUGGUCUCGAUCUCUUGACCUCGUGAUCUGCCCACGUCGGCCUCCCAAAGUCCUGGGAUUACAGGCAUGAG